GACAUGCAGAGAACUUCCAGAGAUGGAAUUGGUGCCUUCGGGAACUCUGACACAGGUGCUGCAUGGCUGUCGUCAGCUCGUGUCGUGAGAUGUUGGGUUAAGUCCCGUAACGAGCGCAACCCUUGUCCUUAGUUACCAGCACGUUAUGGUGGGCACUCUAAGGAGACUGCCGGUGACAAACCGGGAGGAAGGUGGGGAUGACGUCAAGUCAUCAUCGGCCCUUACGGCCUGGGCUACACACGUGCUACAAUGGUCGGUACAAAGGGUUGCCAAGCCGCGAGGUGGAGCUAACUACCCAUAAAACCGAUCGUAGUCCGGAUCGCAGUCUGCAACUCGACUGCGUGAAGUCGGAAUCGCUAGUAAUCGUGAAAUCAGAAUGUCACGGUGAAUACGUUCCCGGGCCUU
rnacentral:rRNA from 1 species